rnacentral:lncRNA from 1 species
GGGAUGGGAACCAACAUGUACCCUUCAUCUGCUUUACUCGGACAGCACAAGGAUGAGUCUAUAGGUGCCUUACCCAUCGAUGAUCUCAUAGAAAAGGCCGAUGGCUUUGCUGGCGUCUUUCCUGGUAAAAGUUGUUUAUUUCUGUUUCUCCAAAAACUUUAUCCAGUUUAGUUCAACUCAUAAAUUUAACCUACUUAGUCAUGAAAACGGUCUGCAGAGCAUAAAUAUGAGAUAGUUAAGCGACUACAAGCGAGGAAGCAUAUUUGUGGAAUGACAGGUGAUGGAGUAAAUGAUGCGCCUGCUCUUAAAAAGGCUGACAUUGGCAUUGCCGUUGCUGAUGCAACUGAUGCAGCACGUAGUGCUUCAGACAUUGUUCUUACUGAACCUGGUCUUAGUGUUAUCAUCAGCGCUGUCUUGACCAGUCGUGCUAUCUUCCAGAGAAUGAAAAAUUAUACAGUGAGUGUUGCAUUUAUUCUCAAUCUCCAUCAGACCUUUUACUUUCUCUGCAUUCGCAUGGAGGAAUCGUGCAAUGUAUCAUGCAGGCAGUAUCUUAUUUAUGCAGCUUUAGUUGUAUACAAUUUUGCAAGUCAAUAUCAUUGGUUCUUUUGUUUUGUAAACAAAUAACUUGAGCUGGCUUUUUUUUUCUGGACAGAUCUAUGCGGUUUCCAUCACUAUCCGUAUUGUCGUAAGUUGUCACUUGAUUUUUUAUAUUUUUUCCAGCUCGUUUCUUUAUGCAAGUUCUCAAUACAACCUGAUUAUCAUGUGUAAUACUCCUUAUGAUUUCGUUUUCUACAAUUCAUGUUAAUUCAGCUUGGCUUCAUGCUGCUGGCUCUUAUAUGGAAGUUUGACUUUCCACCCUUCAUGGUUCUUAUCAUCGCUAUCCUGAAUGAUGGUUAGUUCAUUAAUCUUGCAUUUGUCACUCUAUAUUUCAGUUCUACUACAGUCAAAGUUGUACCAAAAUUGAUUACGGAAUUAGUGGUUCUAGGAUUCAGCAUAUCAAUACUUUUAGCUGCAUUGAUUAACUCUUGUGGCACUGACUUUGUAGGAACAAUUAUGACAAUAUCAAAAGACAGAGUGAAACCUUCCCCUCUUCCAGAUAGCUGGAAACUCUCAGAGAUUUUUGCAACUGGCGUUGUGUUUGGGAGCUACAUGGCAAUGAUGACAGUUAUAUUUUUCUGGGCUGCAUAUAAAACCGACUUCUUCCCGGUAUGAUUUCUCUCUGCUCUUCAGUAUAACAACAUUACGCUUGCUUGUUUUUGUCUCGCUGGAUUGUGUGCUCCAUUAACACCUCAGUAGUUGUUUUUCCACGCUACUCUACUGAAACUUCAACUUUCUCUUUUAGAUAAAAUCGUAAACCAGUGUCAAAUUCCUGUUUUCUGUAUCUUAGUGACCAGAUUUAUUUUUUGAAUUUCAGCGAACUUUUGGAGUUUCAACCCUUGAGAAAACAGCACAUGAUGAUUUCCGGAAGCUUGCCUCAGCAAUAUACCUGCAAGUCAGCAUCAUAAGUCAGGCACUUAUCUUUGUGACCCGAUCACGGAGUUGGUCUUAUGUAGAACGUCCUGGGAUGUGGCUUGUGAUAGCCUUUAUCCUCGCACAAUUGGUCAGUGUGCCACUUCACUAUCUGUGGUCAGCACCGGAGUCAAGAGUUAUAAACGUCUGUUCCAUUUUUUUGAUCUAUUUCUUCCAAUACAGGUGGCUACUCUAAUUGCAGUCUAUGCGAAUUGGAGCUUUGCUGC